UACGGGGGGGGGCAAGCGUUGUUCGGAAUUACUGGGCGUAAAGGGCCAGUAGGCGGCCAACUAAGUCGGAUGUGAAAUCCCCAGGCUUAACCUGGGAACUGCAUCCGAUACUGGAUGGCUUGAAUUCGGGAGAGGGAUGCAGAAUUCCAGGUGUAGCGGUGAAAUGCGUAGAUAUCCGGAGGAACACCGGUGGCGAAGGCGGGUCUCUGGGCCGAUACUGACGCUGAGGAGCGAAAGCGUGGGGAGCGAACAGG
rnacentral:rRNA from 1 species